rnacentral:misc_RNA from 1 species
AACCAUAGAAACCUGCGGAGUACCUGCGGAGGGAUCAUUACGGAGUUGCAAAACUCCCUAAACCAUUGUGAACGUUACCUAAACCGUUGCUUCGGCGGGCGGCCCGGGUCCUUCCCGGCGCCCCUCGGCCCUCGCGGGCGCCCGCCGGAGGUAAACCAAACUAUUGCAUUGUAUGGCCUCUCUGAGUCUUCUGUACUGAAUAAGUCAAAACUUUCAGCAACGGAUCUCAGAUCGGAAGAG